UACGUACGUGGCGAGCGUUAUCCGGAAUUACUGGGCGUAAAGAGCGUGUAGGCGGCCAGGUAGGUCUGGUGUGAAAACUCGAGGCUCAACCUCGAGACGUCGAUGGAAACCGUAUGGCUAGAGUCCGGAAGAGGAGAGUGGAAUUCCUGGUGUAGCGGUGAAAUGCGCAGAUAUCAGGAAGAACACCCGUGGCGAAGGCGGCUCUCUGGGACGGUACUGACGCUGAGACGCGAAAGCGUGGGGAGCGAACAGG
rnacentral:rRNA from 1 species